GAUGAACGCUGGCGGCGUGCCUAAUACAUGCAAGUCGAGCGAACAGAUGAGGAGCUUGCUCCUCUGACGUUAGCGGCGGACGGGUGAGUAACACGUGGAUAACCUACCUAUAAGACUGGGAUAACUUCGGGAAACCGGAGCUAAUACCGGAUAAUAUAUUGAACCGCAUGGUUCAAUAGUGAAAGACGGUUUUGCUGUCACUUAUAGAUGGAUCCGCGCCGCAUUAGCUAGUUGGUAAGGUAACGGCUUACCAAGGCAACGAUGCGUAGCCGACCUGAGAGGGUGAUCGGCCACACUGGAACUGAGACACGGUCCAGACUCCUACGGGAGGCAGCAGUAGGGAAUCUUCCGCAAUGGGCGAAAGCCUGACGGAGCAACGCCGCGUGAGUGAUGAAGGUCUUCGGAUCGUAAAACUCUGUUAUUAGGGAAGAACAAAUGUGUAAGUAACUAUGCACGUCUUGACGGUACCUAAUCACAAAGCCACGGCUAACUACGUG
rnacentral:rRNA from 1 species